AGAAGAGAAACAAACAAAAUCACAUACAAGUGGUCUGAAAAACCCCAAAUUCUAGGGUUUCCGCCAUUGAUCAGGUGUAAAGACGAAAGCAGACAAAUCAGGCCAAAGUAACAAUGAAACGAGCCCAAAAGACCCAAAGGAACUAAAAACUUAAACAUUUCAGGAAAACAUAAUAAGGGAACAAAAUAUUGUAAAAGAACUCACAGAGUGAUGGUAGAAGAUAGCAUAGUAGAAGAAAACACAUAGAAAUCACAGUACAAACACAUAAGAGUCACA
rnacentral:lncRNA from 1 species